ACGGGUGAGUAACGCGUGGGUAACCUGCCCUGUACACACGGAUAACAUACCGAAAGGUAUGCUAAUACGAGAUAAUAUAUUUUGAUCGCAUGGUUAAGAUAUCAAAGCUCCGGCGGUACAGGAUGGACCCGCGUCUGAUUAGCUAGUUGGUGAGGUAAUGGCUCGCCAAGGCGACGAUCAGUAGCCGACCUGAGAGGGUGAUCGGCCACACUGGAACUGAGACACGGUCCAGACUCCUACGGGAGGCAGCAGUGGGGAAUAUUGCACAAUGGGCGAAAGCCUGAUGCAGCAACGCCGCGUGAGCGAUGAAGGCCUUCGGGUCGUAAAGCUCUGUCCUCAAGGAAGAUAAUGACGGUACUUGAGGAGGAAGCCCCGGCUAACUACGUGCCAGCAGCCGCGGUAAUACGUAGGGGGCUAGCGUUAUCCGGAAUUACUGGGCGUAAAGGGUGCGUAGGCGGUCUUUCAAGCCAGAAGUGAAAGGCUACGGCUCAACCGUAGUAAGCUUUUGGAACUGUAAGACUUGAGUGCAGGAGAGGAGAGUGGAAUUCCUAGUGUAGCGGUGAAAUGCGUAGAUAUUAGGAGGAACACCAGUAGCGAAGGCGGCUCUCUGGACUGUAACUGACGCUGAGGCACGAAAGCGUGGGGAGCAAACAGGAUUAGAUACCCUGGUAGUCCACGCCGUAAACGAUGAGUACUAGGU
rnacentral:rRNA from 1 species